UACGUAGGGACCGAGCGUUGUCCGGAAUCAUUGGGCGUAAAGAGCGUGUAGGCGGCCACUUAAGUCCUGCGUGAAAUCUUGCGGCUCAACCGCAAGCGGUCGUGGGAAACUGGGUGGCUAGAGUGCGGGAGAGGAGAGUGGAAUUCCUGGUGUAGCGGUGGAAUGCGCGAUAUCAGGAAGAACACCCGUGGCGAAGGCGGCUCUCUGGAACGCAACUGACGCUGAGACGCGAAAGCGUGGGGAGCAAACAGG
rnacentral:rRNA from 1 species